AAAUAAAUUAUUAAGAGCACUUGAUGGAUGCCUUGGCGUUAAGAGGCGAUGAAGGACGUGGCAGGCUGCGAUAAGCUGUGGGGAAUUGUCAACAAAUUUUGAUCCGCAGAUUUCCGAAUGGGGAAACCCAACUAGUUUAGCUAGUUAUUACGUACUAAGUAUGUAAAGCAAACUUGGUGAACUGAAAUAUCUAAGUAGCCAAAGGAAAAGAAAUCAACCGAGAUUCUGUUAGUAGUGACGAGCGAAAGCGGAAAAGGCUAGUGAUUUAAGAAUAAGAAUUAGAAUACUCUGGAAAUAGUAACCAUAGAAGGUGAUAGUCCUGUAUAAGUAGAAAGUUUUUAAAUCCUUGAGUAGAGCGGGGCACGUGAAAUCCUGUUUGAAUAUGGGGGGACCAUCCUCCAAGCCUAAAUACUCCUUAACGACCGAUAGUGAACAAGUACCGUGAGGGAAAGGUGAAAAGAACCCCGGGAGGGGAGUGAAAUAGAAUCUGAAAUCAAGUGCUUACAAACAGUUGGAGCUCUAUAUCAAUUUAUUGAUAUUUAGAGUGACAGCGUACCUUUUGCAUAAUGGGUCAGCGAGUUAAUCUAUGAAGCAAGCUUAAGCCGUUAGGUGUAGGCGUAGCGAAAGCAAGUCUGAAUAGGGCAUUUUAGUUUUAUGGAUUAGACCCGAAACCAAGUGAUCUAGUCAUGACCAGAUUGAAGGUGUGGUAAAACACACUGGAGGAUCGAACCAGUUAAUGUUGCAACAUUAUUGGAUGAGUUGUGAUUAGGGGUGAAAGGCCAAUCAAACUUGGAAAUAGCUGGUUCUCCGCGAAAUCUAUUUAGGUAGAGCGUUGUAUGUAUGUUGUUGGGGGUAGAGCACUGGAUAGACUAGGGGGAUUCACCGUCUUACCAAAUCUAACUAAACUCCGAAUACCAACAAUUAAUUAUACAGCAGGCACACUACGGGUGCUAAGUCCGUGGUGAAGAGGGAAACAACCCAGAUCACUAUCUAAGGUCCCAAAAUUACAG
rnacentral:rRNA from 1 species